GAUGAACGCUGGCGGCGUGCCUAAUACAUGCAAGUCGAGCGAACGGACGAGAAGCUUGCUUCUCUGAUGUUAGCGGCGGACGGGUGAGUAACACGUGGAUAACCUACCUAUAAGACUGGGAUAACUGCGGGAAACCGGAGCUAAUACCGGAUAAUAUUUUGAACCGCAUGGUUCAAAAGUGAAAGACGGUCUUGCUGUCACUUAUAGAUGGAUCCGCGCUGCAUUAGCUAGUUGGUAAGGUAACGGCUUACCAAGGCAACGAUGCAUAGCCGACCUGAGAGGGUGAUCGGCCACACUGGAACUGAGACACGGUCCAGAAUCCUACGGGAGGCAGCAGUAGGGAAUCUUCCGCAAUGGGCGAAAGCCUGACGGAGCAACGCCGCGUGAGUGAUGAAGGUCUUCGGAUCGUAAAACUCUGUUAUUAGGGAAGAACAUAUGUGUAAGUAACUGUGCACAUCUUGACGGUACCUAAUCAGAAAGCCACGGCUAACUACGUG
rnacentral:rRNA from 1 species